ensembl:lncRNA
AUUCAGUGAGUGUCAGAAGGCUGUCGGAAAACUUGGAACAGUAUCGAGCGUGUUCAUAGCAGCACAUGCAGUGUCAAAAACUGGAACAGUCCAUCGCAACUUUUCAACAUGCUUUUUCAAACAAUGCAUCCCUUAUAAUGAUUUGGAUUAUAAAGUCAGAGCCAUCGGAUGUUCUAAAUGAAAUUGAUAAUUUAAAAACGAAAUAGUGAAGUUUAAAUUGGGAGAAAAUAACCAGGAAUUGAACACUACCUACUGGACCAUUGCUGAAUUUCACUCAUUGGUGUAGUAGCCUACUGAAAUUGGUAAUAAGGCCAGAUGGAAUUGCCUAGCAGGUGGGAUUCGGCACAUGGGCCUUAGUUUUCCCACCUCUGGUCUAUUGGAUCCACUGUUAAAUUAUUACACAGAGUAUGUGAGCGGAGUGGAGGGAGAGCAUUGCGAGAAGUGGAGAGGGAUCAAUUUGACUGGAGCAUUGGGUCAUACGGAGCAUGCCAGAAUGGUGGCACUCGAUAUUGCCCCAGUACCGUUCUGUUUGAAAUAAAGAACACCAUGUCUCAGCCGAUAAAUUCUAUCAGAAUGUCUCCACUGGGUACAGGCAAUACACCUAGGAUUUUGUGUCUAAUUUAUUUUUAUUUUUAACAAGUACAUUUUGAAUUUGAUUUAAAACAGCUUGGUUACAAAAUGUUGUUUACAUGUUUAGUACUUGAUUUUCCUGGCAGCUUAGAGGGUGUUGCAUUUGAUUACAUUUUUCUUUAAAGGCAACACAAAUUCUUUGAAUAAUUAACAAAUAAACUACCCUUACCUAUUAAAUUGUAUACAUGUAAUUUAAAAGGCAUACUCAUACUGUAAACAUCAGUGUUUUUGUAAAUGAAAGGUAUGAAUGGUUGUGUCAUUCAUGAAAUUGAAGUCCUAUGGACUUUAUCAAUUGAGAUCCUAAACAAAUACAUUAUCUUACAUGGUAUUUUAGUCUGAGAACCUUGCAUGGUAGUUUAUUUUUAGAUGGUUUAUCCUGAAAUGGGUGCCUGAAAAUACCUUUGUGAUCGGGUUCGGGCUGAGAAUGAUACCUAAUUCUGUGUCUUCAGCUAACACAGUGUCUUCAGCUGCAGUUUGCUGGCAUCCAUGCUUAUAGCCUUUCCUCUAGAUCACUCAACCCCUUUUAGCAUGUGUAGGAUUUAGGCCUAGCCUCGCUGAACCUGUACUGUAUGUGAUUUGUCUGCGACCUUCCUAUAGUAUUCAUUUAUAAUAAAGUGAAUGACCC